CCUACGGGCGGCAGCAGUGAGGAAUAUUGGUCAAUGGACGAGAGUCUGAACCAGCCAAGUAGCGUGAAGGAUGACUGCCCUAUGGGUUGUAAACUUCUUUUAUAUGGGAAUCAAACGUUCCACGUGUGGGAUUUUGUAUGUACCAUAUGAAUAAGGAUCGGCUAACUCCGUGCCAGCAGCCGCGGUACUACGGAGGAUCCGAGCGUUAUCCGGAUUUAUUGGGUUUAAAGGGAGCGUAGGUGGAUUGUUAAGUCAGUUGUGAAAGUUUGCGGCUCAACCGUAAAAUUGCAGUUGAAACUGGCAGUCUUGAGUACAGUAGAGGUGGGCGGAAUUCGUGGUGUAGCGGUGAAAUGCUUAGAUAUCACGAAGAACUCCGAUUGCGAAGGCAGUUCACUGGACUGCAACUGACACUGAGGCUCGAAAGUGUGGGUAUCAAACAGGAUUAGAUACCCUUGUAGUC
rnacentral:rRNA from 1 species